rnacentral:rRNA from 1 species
GUCCACGCUGUAAACGAUGGAUGCUAGGUGUUGGGGUAUUGACCCCUCAAGUGCCGCAGUUAACGCAUUAAGCAUCCCGCCUGGGGAGUACGGCCGCAAGGCUAAAACUCAAAGGAAUUGACGGGGGCCCGCACAAGCGGUGGAGCAUGUGGUUUAAUUCGACGCAACGCGAAGAACCUUACCUGGGUUAAAUCCGCCGGAAUUCCGCAGAGAUGUGGAAGUGCCCUUCGGGGAACCGGUGAGAAGGUGCUGCAUGGCUGUCGU